AUUGAACGCUGGCGGCAUGCCUAACACAUGCAAGUCGAACGGAAGUCUACGGACUUUAGUGGCGGACGGGUGAGUAAAGCGUAGGGAUCUACCUAUGAGUGGGGGACAACCUGGGGAAACUCAGGCUAAUACCGCAUAAGCUCGAAAGAGGAAAGCGUGGGACCUUCGGGCCAAGCGCUGAUAGCUGAACCUACGUCCGAUUAGCUAGUUGGUGGGGUAAGGGCCUACCAAGGCGACGAUCGGUAGCGGGUGUGAGAGGACGAUCAGCCACACUGGGAGUGAGGCACGGACCAGACUCCUGCGGGAGGCAGCAGUGGGGAAUAUUGGACAAUGGGCGGAAGCCUGAGCCAGCAAUGCCGCGUGGGUGAAGAAGGCCUGCGGGUUGUAAAGCCCUUUAAGUGGGGAAGAAGGCUUUAGCGCGAAUAGCGCUGAAGAUUGACAUUACUCACAGAAUAAGCACCGGCUAACUCCGUGCCAGCAGCCGCAGUAA
rnacentral:rRNA from 1 species